rnacentral:rRNA from 1 species
GAGAGGUGCUGCAUGGCUGUCGUCAGCUCGUGUUGUGGAAUGUUGGGUUAAGUCUCGCAACGAGCGCAACCCCUAUCGUCUGUUGCCAGCAUUAAGUUGGGCACUCUGACGAGACUGCCUGGGUUAACCAGGAGGAAGGUGGGGAUGACGUCAAGUCCUCAUGGCCCUUAUGUCUAGGGCUACACACGUAAUACAAUGGCGCGUACAAAGGGAAGCGAACUCGCAGGGGGAGCAAAUCCCAAAAAGCGCGUCUCAGUCCGGAUUGGAGUCUGCAACUCGACUCCAUGAAGUUGGAAUCGCUAGUA